rnacentral:rRNA from 1 species
CAGUAGCCGCGGGAAUACGUAGGUGGCAAGCGUUGUCCGGAAUUAUUGGGCGUAAAGGGCUCGCAGGCGGUUUCUUAAGUCUGAUGUGAAAGCCCCCGGCUCAACCGGGGAGGGCCAUUGGAAACUGGUAAACUUGAGUGCAGAAGAGGAGAGUGGAAUUCCACGUGUAGCGGUGAAAUGCGUAGAGAUGUGGAGGAACACCAGUGGCGAAGGCGACUCUCUGGUCUGUAACUGACGCUGAGGAGCGAAAGCGUGGGGAGCGAACAGGAUUAGAUACCCCCGUAGUCCCUGUCUCUUAUAC